AGAGUUUGAUCAUGGCUCAGGACGAACGCUGGCGGCGUGCUUAACACAUGCAAGUCGAACGCUGAAGCCUAGCUUGCUGGUGGAUGAGUGGCGAACGGGUGAGUAACACGUGAGUAACCUGCCCUCUUCUUUGGGAUAACGCCCGGAAACGGGUGCUAAUACUGGAUAUUCACUGAUCUUCGCAUGGGGGUUGGUGGAAAGGUUUUUCUGGUGGGGGAUGGGCUCGCGGCCUAUCAGCUUGUUGGUGGGGUGAUGGCCUACCAAGGCUUUGACGGGUAGCCGGCCUGAGAGGGUGACCGGUCACAUUGGGACUGAGAUACGGCCCAGACUCCUACGGGAGGCAGCA
rnacentral:rRNA from 1 species